rnacentral:lncRNA from 12 species
GUUGCCUGACUGUGUAGACUGCCAGUCACAUGACUGCUCUAGGCCUCAGCUUCCUCACCUGCCAAAUGGGCCACAUACUCAACCCUACAGAGUUGUCAUGAGAGUGAGAGUUACGAAGUUGGCCAGGCGUCCAGUAGAACAUCUUAACAACUGUUCUCAGCAAGGAUGUGGAGGGACUAAGGAGGAGGGAGAAGGGAUUGGGCCGGCAGAGUGAAUCCCUGGGAGCCUGGGUUGGCCCAGGGAUGUCAUCCAAGAGGCACCCUGAGGAACCAGGAGCAAGGAAGAGUCUCUAGGGAGGCUAUUUCCUGGGAACACAGCUCCAGUGGCCCAAUGGCCCAAGGCAGCCAGGAAGCUGGGAGAGAUGAAGGGCAAGUUCCUUCAUGCACAGGAUGCCUGACCUUGCCCCCUCCCUCCCAGCUGUCCAGGUAGGUGUGCCAGCCAAAGGCCCAGGCCCUUGAAGGCCGGGGAGAACUGAGAGGACACAUGUGGUGGUGUUCUGCAAGGGGGGGAGGUCUCCUGGCUCUAUCCCAGAGGCCCAUGUGUGGGUCUUCCCACCCUGUUCCUGAGACCUGGCCUUGCCUCCCCUCACCCAACGCCUGAAGCAGGGGCCAGGGAGACAGUCGUCUGUGUUGUCCAGAGUUGGAAGAAUGGAAGGAGAGAGGAGCAGAGAGAACACGGAGAAUCAUUAUUCAAGGCUUUGUAUCUUUCUUCCUAGCCAAUGCCAAGCUUUUCCUUUCCCCAGGGCCUUGAACCAAUGCAUGCCAAGCUUCCUGGACACCUCUGCACCAGGCAUUAAAGCUCAUAUUAAGAAGUCACGCUGCUUCCACUUACUCUAGUGGGCUUCUGGAUCGGUUGGCACACCCAAGGGAAGAAAGAGAGGGUCACCGCCACGGUUACCAUUUGUCAAGCACCCAUCAGAUGCCAGGUGUGUUGCUUAUGUUAUUUCUAACCCUCAUGACAGCCCUGCAAGUUGGGCACUACUAGCCCCACUUUACAGAUGGGGAAACUGAGGCUAAAAACUGUUAGUUUGCUCCCAAGAGAUAGAGCUAUUUAGUGGUUGACCUAGGAUCUGAACCCCAGGGCUUUUGGACUCUGGAGUACUAAGGCAACUUCCAUCACACCAUACUCUUUAGUCUUAAACUCCCUCAUUAGAACCCAAGAACCCUAGUUUUUUAUUUUUUAUAUUAUUUUUAAAAAGAUUUUAUUUAUUUAUUUGAGAGAGAGUGAGAGAGAGAGAGAACAAGCAGGGAAGGGGCAGAAGAGAGGGAGAAGCGGACUCCUUGCUGAGCAGGGAGCCUGACAGGGGCUCGGUCCCAGGACUCCGGGAUCAUGAUUUGAGCCAAAGGCAGACACUUAACCGACUGAACCACCCAGGCACCCAGAACCCUAGUUUAAAAAAAAA